rnacentral:rRNA from 1 species
GGCGGACGGGUGAGUAACGCGUGGGAACGUGCCCUUCUCAACGGAAUAGUCCCGGGAAACUGGGUUUAAUACCGUAUACGCCCUUCGGGGGAAAAUUUAUCGGAGAAGGAUCGGCCCGCGUUAGAUUAGGUAGUUGGUGGGGUAAUGGCCUACCAAGCCUACGAUCUAUAGCUGGUUUGAGAGGAUGAUCAGCCACACUGGGACUGAGACACGGCCCAGACUCCUACGGGAGGCAGCAGUGGGGAAUCUUAGCACAAUGGGGGCAACCCUGAUCUAGCCAUGCCGCGUGAGUGAUGAAGGCCUUAGGGUCGUAAAGCUCUUUCGCUGGGGAAGAUAAUGACUGUACCCAGUAAAGAAACCCCGGCUAACUCCGUGCCAGCAGCCGCGGUAAUACGGAGGGGGUUAGCGUUGUUCGGAAUUACUGGGCGAAAGCGCGCGUAGGCGGAUUGGAAAGUUGGGGGUGAAAUCCCGGGGCUCAACCUCGGAACUGCCUCCAAAACUCCCAGUCUUGAGUUCGAGAGAGGUGAGUGGAAACUCCGAGUGUAGAGGUGAAAUUCGUAGAUAUUCGGAAGAACACCAGUGGCGAAGGCGGCUCA